GUUGCAGUUAAAAGCUUCGUAGUUGAACCUUGGGCCUGUCCUGCCGGUCCGCCUACCGCGAGUACUGGUCCGGAUGGGCCUUUCUUUCUGGGGAAUCCCAUGGCCUUCACUGGCCGUGGCGGGGAACCAGGACUUUUACUGUGAAAAAAUUAGAGUGUUCAAAGCAGGCCUUUGCUCGGAUACAUUAGCAUGGAAUAAUAGAAUAGGACGUGCGGUUCUAUUUUGUUGGUUUCUAGGACCGCCGUAAUGAUUAAUAGGGAUAGUCGGGGGCGUCAGUAUUCAGCUGUGAGAGGUGAAAUUCUUGGACCAGCUGAAGACUAACUACUGCGAAAGCAUUCGCCAAGGAUGUUUUCAUUAAUCAGGGAACGAAAGUUAGGGGAUCGAAGACGAUCAGAUACCGUCGUAGUCUUUAACCCAUAAACUAUGCCCGACUAGGGAUCGGGCGGUGUUUCUAUGAUGACCCCGCUCGGCACCCUUACGAGAAAUCAAAGUUUUUUGGGUUCCUGGGGGGAAGUAUGGUCGCAAGGCUGAAAACUUAAAGAAAUUUGACGGAAGGGCACCACAAGGCGUGGAGCUCUGCGGCUUAAUUUGACUCAACACGGGGAAACUCACCCAGGUCCAGACAAAAUAAGGAUUUGACAGAUUGAGAGCUCUUUCUUGAUCUUUUGGGAUGGGUGGUGGCAUGGGCCGUUCUUUAGUUGGUGGGAGUUGAUUUUGUCUGCUUAAUUGCGAUAACGAACGAGACCUCGGCUCUUAAAUAGCCCGCUCCGCGUCUGCGGACGCUGGCUUCUUAGGGGGACUAUCGGCUCAGCCCGAUGGAGUACGUGCAUAACAGGUCUGUGAUGCCCUUAGAUGUCCUGGGCCGCACGCCGCGCUACACUGAC
rnacentral:rRNA from 1 species